GACGAACGCUGGCGGCGUGCUUAACACAUGCAAGUCGAACGGAAAGGCCCCUUUGGGGGUACUCGAGUGGCGCACGGGUGCGUAACACGUGCGUAACCUUCCCUUGACUUCGGGACAACUUUAGGAAACGGAGGCUAAUACCGGAAAGGAAUCCUUUCUGCAAGGGGGGGGUUGAAAAGCUUCGGCGGGUUUGGCUGGCCUCGCGGCGUAUCGGCUUGCUGGUGGGGUAGUGGGUUACCGAGGCUUUGACGGGUAGCCGGCCUGCGGGGGCGACCGGCCACAUUGAGACUGAGAGAAGGCAGAGGCUGCGAAGGGAGGCAGAAGGGGGGAAGAUUGAACGAGGGGCGGAAGCCUGGUGCAGAAAGGCCGCGGGCGGGAUGACGGUCUUAGGGUUGAAAACCGCAUUCAGCAGGGGCGAAGCUUGUGGUGACGGUACCUGCAGAAGAAGCACCGGCUAACUACGUG
rnacentral:rRNA from 1 species